rnacentral:rRNA from 1 species
UUAGAGAUGAGUGGCGAACGGGUGAGUAAUACAUAGGUAACCUGCCCCUGUGCGGGGGAUAACAGGAGGAAACUCCUGCUAAUACCGCAUAGCCAUGAGCACCGCAUGGAGCUCAUGCCAAAUAUCCUUUAUGGGAUAGCGCAGGGAUGGACCUAUGGCGCAUCAGCUGGUUGGCGGGGCAACGGCCCACCAAGGCAACGAUGCGUAGCCGGCCUGAGAGGGCGGACGGCCACAUUGGGACUGAGACACGGCCCAGACUCCUACGGGAGGCAGCAGUAGGGAAUUUUCGGCAAUGGGGGAAACCCUGACCGAGCAACGCCGCGUGAGCGAAGAAGGCCUUCGGGUCGUAAAGCUCUGUUGUAAAGGAAGAACGGCGCAUACAGGAAAUGGUAUGCGAGUGACGGUACUUUACCAGAAAGCCACGGCUAACUACGUGCCAGCAGCCGCGGUAAUACGUAGGUGGCGAGCGUUAUCCGGAAUCAUUGGGCGUAAAGAGGGAGCAGGCGGCCGCAAGGGUCUGUGGUGAAAGCCCGAAGCUAAACUUCGGUAAGCCAUGGAAACCGGGCGGCUAGAGUGCGGAAGAGGAUCGUGGAAUUCCAUGUGUAGCGGUGAAAUGCGUAGAUAUAUGGAGGAACACCAGUGGCGAAGGCGACGGUCUGGGCCGCAACUGACGCUCAUUCCCGAAAGCGUGGGGAGCAAAUAGGAUUAGAUACCCUAGUAGUCCACGCCGUAAACGAUGGUCACUAAGUGUCGGGGGUCAAACCCCGGUGCUGCAGUCAACG